UACGUAGGGUGCAAGCGUUAAUCGGAAUUACUGGGCGUAAAGCGUGCGCAGGCGGGUUUAUAAGACAGAGGUGAAAUCCCCGGGCUCAACCUGGGAACUGCAUUUGUGACUGUAGAGCUGGAGUGCGGCAGAGGGGGAUGGAAUUCCGCGUGUAGCAGUGAAAUGCGUAGAUAUGCGGAGGAACACCGAUGGCGAAGGCAAUCCCCUGGGCCUGCACUGACGCUCAUGCACGAAAGCGUGGGGAGCAAACAGG
rnacentral:rRNA from 1 species